AACGCCGUGUAAAGGUCGGAGCACUCUAGGACGAACUGCCGUUGCAAACGGAGGAAGGUGGGAUGACGUCAAAUCAUCAUGCCCCUUAUGUUCUGGGCUACACACGUGCUACAAUGGCCGGUACAGACGGACGCAAAGCCGCGAGGUGGAGCAAAUCCUAAAAAAGCCGGUCUCAGUUCGGAUUGCAGGCUGCAAUUCGCCUGCAUGAAGUCGGAAUCGCUAGUAAUCGCAGGUCAGCAUACUGCGGUCGAAUACGUUCCCGGGCCUU
rnacentral:rRNA from 1 species